rnacentral:rRNA from 1 species
UACGUAGGUGGCGAGCGUUGUCCGGAUUUAUUGGGCGUAAAGGGCGUGUAGGCGGCCUGUUAAGUCGGGGGUGAAACCCCGGGGCUCAACCCCGGGCGUGCCUCUGAUACUGAUGGGCUUGAGUGCUCUAGAGGGCAGUGGAAUUGCCGGUGUAGCAGUGAAAUGCGUAGAGAUCGGCAGGAACACCAGUGGCGAAGGCGGCUGCCUGGGGAGUAACUGACGCUGAGGAACGAAAGCGUGGGGAGCGAACAGG